rnacentral:rRNA from 1 species
UGGGGAAUUUUGGACAAUGGGCGAAAGCCUGAUCCAGCAAUGCCGCGUGUGUGAAGAAGGCCUUCGGGUUGUAAAGCACUUUUGUCCGGAAAGAAAUCCUUGGCUCUAAUACAGUCGGGGGAUGACGGUACCGGAAGAAUAAGCACCGGCUAACUACGUGCCAGCAGCCGCGGUGAUACGUAGGGUGCAAGCGUUAAUCGGAAUUACUGGGCGUAAAGCGUGCGCAGGCGGUUUGCUAAGACCGAUGUGAAAUCCCCGGGCUCAACCUGGGAACUGCAUUGGUGACUGGCAGGCUAGAGUAUGGCAGAGGGGGGUAGAAUUCCACGUGUAGCAGUGAAAUGCGUAGAGAUGUGGAGGAAUACCGAUGGCGAAGGCAGCCCCCUGGGCCAAUACUGACGCUCAUGCACGAAAGCGUGGGGAGCAAACAGGAUUAGAUACCCUGGUAGUCCACGCCCUAAACGAUGUCAACUAGUUGUUGGGGAUUCAUUUCCUUAGUAACGUAGCUAACGCGUGAAGUUGACCGCCUGGGGAGUACGGUCG